rnacentral:rRNA from 1 species
CCUACGGGGGGCAGCAGUAGGGAAUCUUUCACAAUGGGCGAAAGCCUGAUGGAGCAACGCCGCGUGCAGGAUGAAGGCCUUCGGGUUGUAAACUGCUUUUAUAAGCGAGAAAUAUGAUGGUAACUUAUGAAUAAGGAUCGGCUAACUACGUGCCAGCAGCCGCGGUCAUACGUAGGAUCCGAGCAUUAUCCGGAGUGACUGGGUGUAAAGAGUUGCGUAGGUGGCAUAAUAAGUAGCUAGGGAAAUCUGGUGGCUCAACCAUUCAGACUAUUAGCUAAACUGUUAAGCUCGAGACCGUUAGGGGUAACUGGAAUUUCUAGUGUAGGAGUGAAAUCCGUAGAUAUUAGAAGGAACACCAAUAGCGUAGGCAGGUUGCUGGGACGGUUCUGACACUAAGGCACGAAAGCGUAGGGAGCAAACGGGAUUAGAUACCCCUGUAGUC